AUGCCCAAAUCCAAGGGCAACAGGAAAGUCUUCCUAACCAAAACUGCCAAGAAAGGCUUGGAACUGAAACAGAACUUGACAGAAGAGCUUAGGAAAUGUGUGGACACAUACAAGUACCUCUUCAUCUUCUCCAUGGCUAACAUGAGGAAGAAUAAGCUGAAGGACAUCCACAGUGCCUGGAAGCACAGUCUAAUGUUUUUUGGCAAAAACAAAGUGAUGAUGGUGGACUUGGGUCAAGGCCCAUCUGAUGAGUGCAAAGAAAAUCUGCAUCAGGUCAGCAGAAAGUUGAGGAGUGAGAUUGGUCUUCUUUUUACCAGUGACACUGAGAAGGAAGUGAAUGAGUGGUUCAUGAAAUACACAGAAAUGCACUACACCUGAGGUGGGAACAAAGCUGCUUUCUGGACCUGGGACUCCUGGAGCAGUUACCAGAUUCCAUGGAGCCACACCUGAGGCAGCUGAGUCUGCCCUCGGCUCCAAAUAAAGGUGUGGUGAACCUGCUCUCUGACCACAAGGUGUGCAAAGAAGAUGAUGUGCUGACUCCAGAGCAGGCCCACAUACUGAAGCUUUUGGGGUAUUGCAUAGCUGAACUCAAGGUGAUCAUCAAAUACAUGCAGGACAUGCCUUCCAGAAGGUUCCUACAGAUGGGAGAUAGCCUUUCACAGUUAGAGGAAGUCAGUGAUGACAGCUGA